AAAGAUGGGCAUGCGUAUCAUUAGCUAGUUGGUGUGGUAACGGCAUACCAAGGCUACGAUGAUUAGGGGUCCUGAGAGGGAGAUCCCCCACACUGGUACUGAGACACGGACCAGACUCCUACGGGAGGCAGCAGUGAGGAAUAUUGGUCAAUGGAGGCAACUCUGAACCAGCCAUGCCGCGUGCAGGAUGACGGUCCUAUGGAUUGUAAACUGCUUUUGUACGGGAAGAAAUGUAAUUACGUGUAAUUAUUUGACGGUACCGUAAGAAUAAGGAUCGGCUAACUCCGUGCCAGCAGCCGCGGUAAUACGGAGGAUCCGAGCGUUAUCCGGAAUUAUUGGGUUUAAAGGGUUCGUAGGCGGUUGAGUAAGUCAGUGGUGAAAUCUUAUAGCUUAACUAUAAAAUUGCCGUUGAUACUGCUUGACUUGAAUAGUAUGGAAGUAAUUAGAAUAUGUAGUGUAGCGGUGAAAUGCUUAGAUAUUACAUGGAAUACCAAUUGCGAAGGCAGAUUACUACGUACUUAUUGACGCUGAUGAACGAAAGCGUGGGUAGCGAACAGGAUUAGAUACCCUGGUAGUCCACGCCGUAAACGAUGGAUACUAGCUGUUCGGUUUUCGGACUGAGUGGCU
rnacentral:rRNA from 1 species